rnacentral:rRNA from 1 species
UACGUAGGGGGCUAGCGUUGUCCGGAAUUAUUGGGCGUAAAGAGCUCGUAGGCGGUCUGUCGCGUCGGCUGUGAAAACCCGGAGCUCAACUCCGGGCCUGCAGUCGAUACGGGCAGACUGGAGUUCGGCAGGGGAGACUGGAAUUCCUGGUGUAGCGGUGAAAUGCGCAGAUAUCAGGAGGAACACCGGUGGCGAAGGCGGGUCUCUGGGCCGAUACUGACGCUGAGGAGCGAAAGCGUGGGGAGCGAACAGG